rnacentral:rRNA from 1 species
GAUGAACGCUAGCUACAGGCUUAACACAUGCAAGUCGAGGGGCAGCGGUAUCGACAUCUUGCUCUCGGUAUCCGGCGACAGGCGCACGGGUCAGUAACGCGACCCGCCCCUGCCUCUUACAUGGGUUCAGCCUUGCGGAGGUAAGAUUAAUUACCGUUGUUUUCCGCGUCCCUCAUUAGGCAUUGACCAAUUUUCUAUCGGUAUGAGAUGGAGACGCGACCCAUUAGCUUGUUGGCGGGGUAACGGCCCACCAAGGCAUCGAUGGGUAGGGGUUCUGAGAGGAAGGUCCCCCACAUUGGAGCGGAGACACCGUCCAAACUCCGACGGGAGGCAGCAGUGAGGAAUAUCGGUCAAGGGGCGGAAGCCUGAACCAGCCAAGUAGCGGGCAGGAAGGCGGCCCUCCGGGUUGUAAACUGCUUUUAGUUGGGAAAAAAGCGGAGGUAGUGAGCCCCCUUGCAUGUACCAUCAGAAAAAGGACCGGCUAAUACCGUG